CUUGAACUGGAUUCAGUUUCUUUCGAGUUUUGUGUGGCGGUGGUGGAUUGAUUGGAUUACAGUGAGUGGAGGGAAAUUGGAAAUGUGUGGUGAAUGGGUUCGUUGGAUUGUAAAGUUGUGAUCUUUAGGGUUAGGGUUCUUCGCUGGGGGGUUUAUACGGCGGAGAUUGAAAAUGGGAAAUGGCGAUUGGAUAUCGGGAAUUUAAUGGCUCGAAACUCGAGAUGAGCGGGAAAGUUGUUACGGCUGUUUGUUAGUUUCGCGUCGUAACGGCAGUUAUUCAUGGGCUCGGAUAAGAAGGCCUGGGCUUUGAUUGUUGGACAGUGGAUCGUUUUAGCGGAUAGUUUCUAGGUGGGCUGGGCUGGAAUUAUCGAGGGGCCGGGAUUAAGUUGUUUCGACUUCGGUUUGAUUGUGAAGCGGUAAGAAACUUAAGAUACGAAAAGAGUUGCAGGCAUUAAGAGAUAAUAUUUGAUCGAGAUGGAAUCUAACUUGGCAGUUCAAUUUGUCAAUUCUGUAGAUACUAUUGGCCUCCAAUGGAGGCUCUUAUCAAUGGCGGGAUUAUGAGGUAAUAACAUCAAUCAUGUGACUAACUUUGUUGCUGACGCUUUAGUAAAACCUGGACAUACAGAGGGGAUUGGGGAAACCUGACUUCCUCUCCCUCCCACUAUGUUGCGGAAAUUACUGGAUGACGAUCGUAAUGGAAGAAGAUAUUUGAGGGGUAUAAUCCAAAAGAGAAUGGAGGCCAAGAUGGCUUACACACUUUAAUUUUCGGUUCUUCCUUUCUGUUUCAUACCAAAAAAAAUUUAAGAUACGAGCGGUUAGAUUUAAUGAAUUUGGUUUAGUUUUUCAUAGUAUUAAGUUGAGCUUACGAGUUUUAGGUUUGAGUAACCGAACCAGAU
rnacentral:lncRNA from 1 species